UACAGAGGGGGCAAGCGUUAUUCGGAAUUAUUGGGCGUAAAGGGCGCGUAGGCGGCCUGACGAGUGGAAGGUGAAAUCCCUCGGCUUAACCGAGGAACUGCCUUCCAAACUGUUUGGCUUGAGUCCGGGAGAGGCGAGUGGAAUUCCCAGUGUAGCGGUGAAAUGCGUAGAUAUUGGGAGGAACACCAGUGGCGAAGGCGGCUCGCUGGACCGGAACUGACGCUGAGGCGCGAAAGCGUGGGGAGCAAACAGG
rnacentral:rRNA from 1 species